AUGCCGUUAUUUCACAUCACCCCUUCUAUUUUGGACCUUUUUUAUUUUGACUAUUUGAUUGUAGAUCUUCAGUUGGAUGUCAAAGGUUUUACCGAUGUGUAUGCUUCAUUCGAUACGUAUGUUGAAGUGGAAAAACUUGAUGGUUUACAGGUAAAAUCUAUAACCAUGCAUUCUCUUAUGUUACUCUCUACCUGA